AGAGUUUGAUCAUGGCUCAGAACGAACGCUGGCGGCAGGCUUAACACAUGCAAGUCGAACGAGACCUUCGGGUCUAGUGGCGCACGGGUGAGUAACGCGUGGGAACCUGUCCUGUGGUUCGGGAUACCUCUGGGAAACUGGAGUUAAUACCGGGUAUCUCCUGAGGGAGAAAGAUUUAUCGCCAUAGGGUGGGCCCGCGUCCGAUUAGCUAGUUGGUGGGGUAAAGGCCUACCAAGGCUUCGAUCGGUAGCUGGUCUGAGAGGAUGAUCAGCCACACUGGGACUGAGACACGGCCCAGACUCCUACGGGAGGCAGCAGUGGGGAAUAUUGGACAAUGGGGGCAACCCUGAUCCAGCCAUGCCGCGUGAGUGAUGAAGGCCUUCGGGUUGUAAAGCUCUUUCGACGGGGACGAUGAUGACGGUACCCGUAGAAGAAGCCCCGGCUAACUUCGUGCCAGCAGCCGCGGUAAUACGAAGGGGGCGAGCGUUGUUCGGAAUUACUGGGCGUAAAGGGCGCGUAGGCGGCGCACCAAGUCAGGCGUGAAAGCCCUGGGCUUAACCCAGGAACUGCGUUUGAGACUGGUGUGCUGGAGUGCAGGAGAGGUCGGCGGAAUUCCCAGUGUAGAGGUGAAAUUCGUAGAGAUUGGGAAGAACACCGGUGGCGUAGGCGGCCGACUGGACUGUAACUGACGCUGAGGCGCGAAAGCGUGGGGAGCAAACAGGAUUAGAUACCCUUGUAGUCC
rnacentral:rRNA from 1 species